rnacentral:misc_RNA from 1 species
AGAUAGAGGUUAGAGGUUAAGAUCUGUGGUUAAGAUUUAUUUUGGUAAAAAACCCGUUGCUUUUUUUGUUAAUUUGUUUAAUCACUACGAAAUUGGACAUUGUGUAAAUAUUGUACUUAAAUAUAGUUUUAAAAUAUAACUAGGAUAUGUAUGAAAAUGUUACUAAAGUGAAUAGUUUAAUUGUUUUAUAAGAUUUAUAAGAAACGAUAUACCUACUCAAAUACUUUAUAUUCAGUAUUAACAUUAGGUCCUGAAAAUGGAGAAUAUAAAAGACGAUGAUGAAGAGCAUGCCAGUGAAGAAGGAUCGAUUGAUGUUGCAACUGUCUUUCGAAAUAUAUAUUGUUCGUGUGAUAUUGAUGGUACUGAUUCAGUUCCUGUAUCAAGGUUGAUAGAAUUUAUUCAUCCGUUUAUGAUAGAAGAUUUAAAUGCAUUGGAAGAGUUGAAAAAAUCAUUAGAUCCAGAAAAUAAAGAUAUUGUUGUUACUAGUGAAAGAUUUUACGAUGUGAUUAACCAGUGGAGUCGAAAAAUUGCAGCAGGAUCACCGCCUGAUGAUUUUUACCCUUCUAAUCCCAUAAUUGCAAUUGAUGAUACUCAAUUACCUUACACUCAUUCUACACCUAGGACCAGUUUAGGUGACAAACUAUUAAAAUGCAAAGACCUCCUUAAUUUGUCCAACAUGUCUGGUUAUAGUUUGUCCACUAGUAGGCUAGAUACAACAAAUCAUACUGAUAUUGAAAAAACCGCUCUAGAGGAAGAGGUGAAAAGAUUGGAACGUCAAUUAUUGAAACUAACAAACGAACUGACAAUCACGAAGCAGCAAUUAACAGCUUCUGAAGAACAAAAUGAUGUAUUACAACAAAAUUUUGACAGAUUAAAUAAAAAACUACAUUGCGAGCAACAAAUUAACGAAGAUUUGCAGAAAGAAAUUGACAGAAAAAACAGUGAAGAACUGAAAGAAGAAGUAAACACUCUAAAAGAGACGAUCGACACCUUAAAAAAGAACCUGUUGCAGUCAGAAAAAGACAAUCUAUAUUUUAAAAGUCAAAUUAGUGAAGUUGAGGAAGAGAAAGCCGAGUUGGAAAAAAAUAACGGGAUACUGACCAAACAAAAUCAAGAGUGCUUGAGGGAGAUAGCUAAUGUUAGGGCCAAUUUGGAAUCUAAGGAAGAACAAGUUUCUGUAAUCCAAAAGGUUUACGAUGAGCUAAAUGAACAAUAUGCCGAACAGAGGGAUACUAUUGAUCAAUUGAAACAACGAAUUGAGAUUCUAAGCGAAAACAAAGUAACCCUCGAAAAGGUCUUGAAGAACAAAUUAUCGAUAUCUGGAAGCUUAUCGUCAGGUCUAGGUAAUUCUAAUAUUUCUAAUGCACCCCCGUCAUCUGUAACUUCGCCCUAUGAAAAUUGCGGUUGUCCAUGUCAUAGCCCUAGUAACGUACACCACCAAUGCGGCUCCCAAGUUAAAUCUUCUGCGAUUCGAAAAAUGGUCUUGCUCAAAAAUACUACUACGCCAUUUUCGCCUUCUUCUCCGGACGAAACUUCACCGGUAUUUUCUACAAACGGUUUCGACAAAGAUCGGCAUGAGAGUAGUGAGGAAGAUUUAAAUUGGAAAUUGGUGUCAUCUAAUAUCAGUGGUGAUGAUGGGGCGGAACAAAAUGGAAACUCAGAGUCAUUGCAAUUAGAAAUACGCAAGGCCGAUGUCAGACUGUCACAUUACAAUUCAAAUUCCAGUAUGGUUGAAAACUACGAUUUAGUCUCGACCUUGAAAGAUGAAGUGAUAACUUUGAAGGAAGAGUUAGAAGAUCUCCAAACCGAAAGAACGGAUCUAAUAAAAGAAUUAGAAGAACUAAAAAAUAACAACAAGGAUUUGCGCGAACGCAAUUUCGUUUUAAUAAAUGACGUCGAAACAAGUCAAACUGAGAUUACUUAUUUGAAAGAAAACGCUGAAAAACAGAUGCGGGAAAACGAAGAACAAUUUAAUAAGAAAAUGCUUGAAAAGGAAUUGGAACUUAAGCAGUUUAAAGACAAUUUAGAGAGGAACAUUGUAAAAGAAUUUGAAGGUAAAGUGAAAGAUUCCGUUGAAGCGGAAGAGCAAAUUCUGAACUUAGAUUUCAAGUGUAGCCAGUUAGAACAAGAUCUGAAAAAUGUUUCAUCUCAGCUGAGAGUUAAAGAACAACGUUUAACUGAGACCCAAGAACAUACAAAAUCCUUGAAGUCAGAAAUCGAUGUGUUACAAACGACUGUUUCAAAAUUAGAAUCGGAAAAAGCUUACGAAAUUACGAAAAUAAAUUCGACACUAGUAGAGGUUCAGAGGCAUGUGGAAAAUAGAGACGCGAUAAUAAAUGAGCUUAAAGCUAUAAAUGAAUGUAUGAGUUAUAACCUUCAUCAGUCGGAAACAUCAUUAAUGCAAAAAAUGGAGGAAAUGUUGUAUUUAAAAGAUGGCUUAGAGCAAGAUAUAAAUGUAAACAAUAAGUUGUGGCAUCAAAUGGCUAUGCUGCGAAACGAUUUAACAGAAUCGCAUAGAUUAAACGAAGAAUUAACUAGAAAGUUUGAUGACCUUAAGAUAGAACAUAAUACUUUACUUAUUACGCAUGAUGAAGAAGUACAGAAAUGUAUCAAAUACAAUGCCGAAAUCAGUCUCCUAACUGAAGAAAAUAACACUUACGUUUCAAACUAUAAAAUACUUCAAGAAGACUUUAAAAAACUAGAAACAGAUUAUAAAUCACAAACUAAAGCGAGAGAAAAACUUGAACAAAACCUAUCAAGUUUAAAUGAACGUAUCAAAGAAUUAAACGAGAUAAUUAAUGUAAAGAAAUCCGAUGGCUCAUCUCAAACUGAAGUAAUUGAUGAUAUAAGUGAAGAAGCAAGUGAAAUUCUUGAAGAAUUAGAAAGAAAAUUGAUUAGCGAAAUGUCGAAAAAUAGUAGUAUGGUCGAGGAAUUACAACAGGUCAAAACAGCUCUAAACAAAAAAGAUUUUGAAUUAGCUGCACUUAAACUAAAGGUAAACGAGAACGAGACUGAAAUGACAAAAAGAAUAGAAGAAUUCAUUGAAAAACAUAAUAAAUUAUCUGAAGAAUUGUUUAAAAGUCAGAAUAAUAACCAAACUGAAAUUGCUAGUUUGAAAAAAGAAUUGGCCCAAAAAACUAAAGAAAAUAUCUCGAUAAAUAACGAACUGGAUCGUUUAAGAAAUCAAUAUGCUGCCAAGGUUAAAGAAACUCAAAAUAAUGAAGCAAUUCUAAUUAAAAAACAAAAAGAAAUGGAUAAUGAAAUUACUAUUUUGAAAAAAGAAUUGGCUCAAAAAACUGAAGAAAAUAUCUCGAUAAAUAACGAACUGGAUCGUUUAAAAAAUCAAUAUGCAGCCAAAGUAAAAGAAGCUGAAAGUAAUCAGGUCAUUCUAAUUGAAAGGCAAAAAGAAAUGGAUACUGAAAUUACUAUUUUGAGAAAAGAAUUGGCUGAAAAAACUGAAGAAAACAAACAAACCAAAAAUCAGUGUGUAGCCAUAGUAAGAGAGGCUGAAAAUAAUCAAGUCGUUUUAACUGAAAAGCAAAAAGAAAUGGACGGACUUCAAAUAAAAUAUGAUAAUUUACUCAUCGAACUGAAAGAAAUACAAGGUUUGCAUAAAAAUUCUGAGUUAAUCUUAAAUAACACAAAAAUUGAAUACGCAAGUUUGGAAGAGAAAUUCUUGGUUUUGUCGGAAAACAAUAUGCAUCAAAUUGAUCUUGUUAGGCAAUCUGAACAGAUACUUCGAGAAAAUCGCGACGAAUUGAAGAAAGUGUCUUUUGAAAAAGAAAUCUUAGAUAACGAACUGAUAAAAUUAAAAGAUGUAAAUGCAAAACUACAAGAGGAAUAUAUAAAAAUUCUAACCAACUUUGCGACACUGGAGGACGAUUUAAAGAAAGUUCGCCGCGAGAAAGAAUUUUUAAAUAACGAAUUAUCGAGGCUGACUGAAGUAAAUACACAACUAAAUGCCGUAGAAUUGGAAUUGAUAGAAACUAAAAAAGUGUUAGAGAAAAAAUCGGGACUCAACACUUCCAAUAGCGAGAAAGAUGUCACUAAGGGUAAAAGUUAUUUCCGACAACAGAUGACCAUUGAUCGAUUGAAGGAAAAAGUGGAAUGUUUGGAGGCUGAACUGCAAAGGGAAAAGUCGAAAUAUGAAGAGUUGAAAAUAAAAUUAUCUCUGGCAGAUAGUGAAAUAUUAAGUUUGAAGGCGAUUUCCGCAAAGGACGAGGCGAACAUUGAAAAAUGUUUAUCUGAUUGUACAAGCGAGAGCAAGACGGUUAACAAGUUCACCUUAUGUUCUGCAAAAAUCCAGACCACUUGUCCAAGUGAACCCAUACUCACCCCAUCAGAGACUGUGAUAGAAGUGCCUCCCUUACAUAUAAAAGACUUGGCUGCCGUCGUUCAAGACAUAGAAUUAAAUAGUGAUUGUUCAAAAAGAAGAAAUUAUAUAUCACACCGAAAAAUAUAAAAAACAGUAUGAAAGAAUUGUUACGCUGCUCAGUGAUGUUUCACAACGUUUAAGGGAUCACGUUUGUAUCGGAACAGCUGAACCUAUUAUGCCAGUAUUUGUUUUGCUGGAAGAGAUUAAAAUUCAGAUGAAACAGCUUGUGGAGAACGUUGGACAAGUUGGUGCCUUACUUUAUGAGAAUAAUUUGAAGAAAUU